UAACGCGUGAGGAACCUGCCUCAAAGAGGGGGACAACAGUUGGAAACGACUGCUAAUACCGCAUAAGCCCACAGCUCGGCAUCGAGCAGAGGGAAAAGGAGUGAUCCGCUUUGAGAUGGCCUCGCGUCCGAUUAGCUAGUUGGUGAAGUAAUGGCCCACCAAGGCGACGAUCGGUAGCCGGACUGAGAGGUUGAACGGCCACAUUGGGACUGAGACACGGCCCAG
rnacentral:rRNA from 1 species